rnacentral:rRNA from 1 species
AUGGCGACGCCCACGCCCAUGGCCGGCGAGGGGACGCUCGCCGCGGUGAUGCCGCUGUCGCCGCCCCCGCCGGCGGCGGCCGAGGCGGCCGCGGGGUCGGCGGCCGAGGCGCCGAUGCUGAUAUUCCUCUACUUCCACAAGGCGAUCCGCGCCGAGCUCGAGGGGCUGCACGGCGCCGCCGUGCGCCUCGCCACGGAGCGCGCCGGCGACGUUGGGGCACUGGCCGAGCGCUGCCGCUUCUUCGUCAACAUCUACAAGCACCACUGCGACGCCGAGGACGCGGUUAUCUUUCCAGCACUUGAUAUACGAGUCAAGAAUGUCGCUGGAACGUAUUCUCUAGAGCAUAAAGGCGAAAAUGACCUCUUUACCCAGCUUCUUGCUUUAUUACAACUCGAUAUUCAAAAUGACGAUGCUCUUCGGAGGGAACUUGCAUCCUGCACAGGAGCCAUACAAACGUGCCUCACCCAGCAUAUGUCCAAGGAAGAAGAACAGGUCUUCCCGUUGCUUACCAAGAAAUUUUCAUACGAAGAGCAGUCGGAUUUAGUAUGGCAGUUCUUAUGCAACAUUCCUGUAAAUAUGCUGGCAGAGUUCCUUCCGUGGCUCUCAGCUUCUGUUUCAUCUGACGAGCAUCAGGAUAUCCGUAACUGUUUAUGUAAAAUAGUUCCUGAAGAGAAACUUCUUAAACAGGUUGUAUUCACUUGGAUCGAAGGGAAAGCAACAAGAGAAGUGACACAGAGUGUUGUCAGUGAUAAUUUGGAAAGAAGUCAUUGUUGCAAGGAUGCUUCCUUUGUUAAUCAAGCGGAGAAACUCAUUUAUCCACUUGAACAGUCUAAAGUUGGGCAUAUAAAGCAUACAGAAUCUAAUGAUGGUCAGGCUGACAGGCACCCUAUAGAUGAGAUUUUAUAUUGGCAUAAUGCUAUCCGUAAAGAAUUAAAUGAUAUAGCAGAGGAGACAAGGAGGAUGCAGCAGUCUGGAGAUUUUGCUGAUAUAUCAGCCUUCAAUGCGAGACUUCAGUUUAUUGCAGAUGUGUGCAUCUUCCACAGUAUCGCCGAGGAUCAGGUUGUAUUUCCUGCAGUCAAUAGUGAGCUGUCCUUCGUGCUGGAGCAUGCUGAAGAAGAACGUCGAUUUAACAAUUUUAGAUGCUUAAUUCAGCAAAUCCAAAUGGCAGGAGCAAAAUCAACUGCAGCAGAGUUUUACUCCGAAUUGUGUUCACAUGCUGAUCAGAUAAUGGAGGCAAUUGAGAAACACUUCUGUAACGAAGAAACCAAGGUGCUUCCCCAAGCUAGGGUUCUUUUCUCUCCUGAGAAGCAAAGGGAACUUCUAUACAGAAGUCUUUGUGUCAUGCCAUUGAAGCUAUUGGAACGUGUUCUACCAUGGUUGGUAUCAAAACUGAGCGAUGAGGAGGCAUCUUCUUUUCUUCAGAAUAUGCGCUUGGCAGGUCAUCUCUUUACUCUGAUUAUUUUAAGUUAUUGUCUUUAUACACUAUACUUAGCUUUGAAGUUUUCAUUGGGAAUUCAAUGUUUGCUGAAAGAUUCAUGUGAAACAGCACCAUCAUCUGACACCGCAUUGGUCACUCUUUUCUCUGGUUGGGCAUGCAAGGCUCGCUCAGAGGAUAAAUCCAAUUCUGGAGAAUAUAUAUGCUUAACAUCAGGGGCAGCAAGAUGCCUGUUGGAUGAUGUAGAAGAGCUGAAAAAGUGUCAAUCAUUCUGCCCAUGUGCUUCACGUAUCAGUGCAGAUGUUGCUCUUCAUCUGGAAAAUGAAAAUGGUUCUAGGCCAGGCAAGCGAGGAAAUGAUGCAGAAUCUGUUCCUGGUACUAAUGGAAGUCACUGCUCUCAAAUUACUGACACUGUAGCAAGUCCAUGUAGCAAAAAACCUUGUUGUAUUCCUGGGUUGAGAGUAGACACGAGCAAUCUUGGCAUCGGUUCACUGGCUUCUGCAAAGUCCUUUCUCUCCCUGUCAUACAAUUCUUCUGCGCCCUCAUUAUAUUCAAGCCUUUUUUCAUGGGACACAGAUACAGCAUUGUCUUGUUCUGAUGGCAUCUCAAGACCAAUUGAUACCAUAUUCAAAUUUCACAAGGCGAUUCGCAAGGAUUUGGAGUACUUAGAUGUUGAAUCUGGAAAGCUCAUCGAUGGUGAUGAAUCUUGCCUUCGCCAGUUCAUUGGAAGAUUUCGUUUAUUGUGGGGUCUUUAUAGGGCGCACAGCAACGCUGAGGAUGAAAUCGUGUUUCCUGCUUUAGAAUCAAGAGAGCCAUUGCACAAUCUACAUGAGAGCCUGAACCAGCCACAUACUGAAUCGAAUGAAGCAGAGAAACGCUAUUUGAAUUCAUGUAAUGUGAUUGAUUCGACUAGGAAGUACAAUGAGCUUGCUACGAAGCUUCAAGGAAUGUGCAAGUCUAUCCGGGUCGCCUUGUCUAAUCAUGUUCACAGAGAAGAACUUGAGCUGUGGCCAUUGUUUGAUAAACAUUUUUCGGUGGAGGAACAGGAUAAGCUUGUAGGUCGUAUAAUUGGUACAACAGGUGCUGAGGUUCUCCAAUCAAUGCUACCUUGGGUUACAUCAGCGCUUAAUCAAGAAGAACAGAACAAGAUGCUGGAUACAUGGAAGCAAGCAACUAAAAAUACAAUGUUCGGUGAGUGGCUAAAUGAGUGGUGGAAGGGAGUUCCAACACCAUCUGAUUCUUCGUCAGAGACAUCCCCCAUUCCGGAAGACAGUCAUUCACAAGACAAGCUUGACCAGAAUGACCAGAUGUUCAAGCCUGGCUGGAAGGACAUAUUUCGAAUGAACCAGAGUGAACUUGAGGCAGAGGUUCGAAAGGUUUCACGGGAUCCAACACUUGAUCCAAGGCGAAAGGCCUAUCUAAUCCAAAAUCUCAUGACCAGCCGCUGGAUAGCUGCUCAGCAAAAGCUACCGGAUCCAAGAUCAGAAGAGUGUAGUGAAGGUGCCGGUAUACCUGGAUGUCGUUCUUCUUAUCGUGACCAGGAGAAGCAAAUAUUCGGUUGUGAGCACUACAAACGGAACUGUAAGCUUGUUGCCGCUUGCUGUAACAAGCUGUUUACAUGCAGAUUCUGCCAUGAUAAAGUUAGCGACCAUACAAUGGAAAGGAAAGCAACACAGGAGAUGAUGUGCAUGGUAUGCCUGAAGGUUCAACCUGUCGGUCCGAAUUGCCAAACUCCGUCUUGCAAUGGACUAUCCAUGGCAAAGUAUUACUGUAAUAUCUGCAAAUUUUUUGAUGACGAAAGGACUGUCUACCAUUGUCCGUUUUGUAAUCUGUGUCGUCUUGGUAAAGGUCUUGGUGUUGAUUUCUUCCAUUGCAUGAAGUGCAAUUGCUGCCUUGGAAUGAAACUAACAGAACACAAAUGUCGGGAGAAGGGGCUAGAGACAAACUGUCCAAUCUGCUGUGACUUCCUAUUCACAUCAAGCGCGGCAGUUAGAGCUCUUCCUUGUGGUCACUUCAUGCAUUCAGCUUGCUUUCAGGCAUACACUUGCAGUCACUACACUUGUCCUAUCUGCUGCAAAUCCUUGGGAGAUAUGGCGGUGUACUUUGGCAUGCUUGAUGCGUUGUUGGCUGCUGAAGAGCUUCCCGAGGAAUACCGCGAGAGGUGUCAGGACAUUCUUUGUAAUGACUGUGAAAGAAAAGGGAGAUCUCAGUUUCAUUGGCUGUACCACAAAUGCGUCUCCUGUGGUUCUUACAAUACCAGAGUUAUCAAAACUGAUACGGCAGAUUGUUCUACCCCAAACUAA